CAAAACUAAUUAAUUAGAUUAACGUUUUAAAGUGGAAUGACACUUGGUGACUUUAGUCGCAUUAGCUAUGUGAACACAAAAAUCACGGACAUGAUUCAGAUGUGUUAAAGGGUCAGGAAAAAAAUUCACACCUGGCUCCUUCGCGGUUAAAAAUGACCGCCAUAGGAAAUUAAUGGGAAAUAAGAAAACAUACAAAAAACUCUGGGAAUCUUUUGGUGGUACAAACUACAAAUCAACUGUGCAGAAAAAAGUGCACAGCAAUGAAGGGGUCACGCUCUAAAAUGUGCAAAACAGAUACAUCCACCCCACUAGUGUGACUAUAAAACAGAGCAAGUUUUUGCAAAUGUGAAAUAAUCAAGAAUUCAGCCACUAUGCAGGAAAAAACAGCAAGAAGUUUACACACGCACACAAAUGAACUGGCUGUAACAAUUAUGGUAACACUGAGCCAAAAGACUCAAAUAAGAGGUUGAAAUCAGAUCUGAUUCUGACCCAGAUUGAUUGAUGUAACCCGGGUAACUCAGACCAGUAAAGAGAAAAAAAGUUAAGAAAAGGAAAAAAAAAAAAAAAAUUCUAGAAGAAAAAGAGAUUCAUCCAAUCACUAAUCGUGCUGCAGUGAGAGACACCCAUAAGAGCCAAUAGUAGCGGCGCAUUCAUAAGUCCCGCCCACUGGUCGCGCCGGCGCUGCUUUCAGCGUGAGAACAUGAGAGAGAGUCAGAGCAGAGCAGAGCAGAUCAGCACAGACCGUUUCUCUAGAAAAUCCAUUGAUCUAACCGGAAAUGUGAUUGAAAGUGGAGCUUUUGAAGUCGAUGCGUCAGCCUGAAGUGAUGUCGUCGGAGAGAGAGAAGAGAGAGACGGAGCGGAUCCCGGAGUGUAUCAGCACUGUGAGUAAUCUUCCUUGUACCCAAAGGAAAAGGACAGUGAUUCCCAAACCACAGAGAAAUGUUGCCUGAACGACUGUUGAUGAGUAUCAAGCACAAGCCCUUGACAGAGACUCAGAAGAGGCUGAAAAAAAUGUAGGAAAACAAAAAAUUGAGAAAUGACAACAAAAAAUUCAACAACUGGUUCGGCUGACUCUCAGCUGAUCCACAUCUACCUAUAGGAAUACGACGCCUAUCACAGCAUCCUUAGAUAAGGUGUUUAAAUGGAAUGCCCUAAGCCUUUGAUCGCUGAUUUACACGCCAUUCUAUAGGCCUGUAUGGAUGUUUGGACUAUUGGAGAUAAAUAUAAAAAAAAUAAAAAAUGCAAUGAAAAUGAUAUAAAUAUCAUUAUGAAUAUGAAUAAACACAUGUUUGCUCUGCAAUUCACUGGCAUCAUGUUCGACAGAUUAGGUCAUUAAAAUUACACUGUUUUAUUAUUGAGUAUAUUUGGUACUAUAGACUAUAUCUGAUAUAGAUCUGAAUUAAUUAGAUUAAUAGAUUAUAGAUUAAUUCUAAAACAGAAUAAUAAUAAUAACUAAAAAACAAAAUUAACAGGUUUAAUUAUGCCUCCUCACUAGUUUACACCGUAGCAUUGGCACUAUAGAUACUAGAUGUAUCUAGCUUUGAA